rnacentral:rRNA from 1 species
AGCGGCGGACGGGUGAGUAACACGUGGGUAACCUGCCUCAUAGAGGGAAUAGCCUCCGAAAGGAAGAUUAAUACCGCAUAAGAUUGUAAUAUCGCAUGGAUAUAGCAAUUAAAGGAGUAAUCCGCGUAUGAGAUGGACCCGCGUCGCAUUAGCUAGGUUGGUGAGGUAACGGCUCACCAAGGCGACGAUGCGUAGCCGACCUGAGAGGGUGAUCGGCCACAUUGGGACUGAGACACGGCCCAGACUCCUACGGGAGGCAGCAGUGGGGAAUAUUGCACAAUGGGGGAAACCCUGAUGCAGCAAACCGCCGCGUGAGUGAUGACGGUCUUCGGAUUGUAAAGCUCUGUCUUCAGGGACGAUAAUGACGGUACCUGAGGAGGAAGCCACGGCUAACUACGUGCCAGCAGCUGC